rnacentral:rRNA from 1 species
AUACGGAGGGUCCGAGCGUUAAUCGGGAUUACUGGGCGUAAAGCGCGCGUAGGCGGCUAUAUAAGUCAGAUGUGAAAUCCGUGGGCUCAACCUAGGAACUGCAUUUGAAACUGUAUGGCUAGAGUAUGGUAGAGGUGAGUGGAAUUUCAGGUGUAGAGGUGAAAUGCGUAGAGAUCUGAAGGAACAUCAGUGGCGAAGGCGACUCACUGGGCCAUUACUGACGCUGAGGUGCGAAAGCGUGGGUAGCAAACAGGAUUAGAAACCCCUGUAGUCC